CCUACGGGUGGCAGCAGUGAGGAAUAUUGGUCAAUGGCCGGAAGGCUGAACCAGCCAAGUCGCGUGAGGGAAUAAGGCCCUAUGGGUCGUAAACCUCUUUUGUCAGGGAACAAAGGCGGGGACGUGUCCCCGGAUGAGUGUACCUGAAGAAAAAGCAUCGGCUAACUCCGUGCCAGCAGCCGCGGUAAUACGGAGGAUGCGAGCGUUAUCCGGAUUUAUUGGGUUUAAGGGGUGCGCAGGCGGUCUGUUAAGUCAGCGGUCAAAGCCCGGGGCUCAACCCCGGCCCGCCGUUGAAACUGGCAGUCGCGAGUUGGAGAGAAGUAUGCGGAAUGCGCGGUGUAGCGGUGAAAUGCAUAGAUAUCGCGCAGAACUCCGAUUGCGAAGGCAGCAUGCCGGCUCCACACUGACGCUGAGGCACGAAAGCGUGGGUAUCGAACAGGAUUAGAUACCCCUGUAGUC
rnacentral:rRNA from 1 species